CAAAUAAUACCUGCUUCGAGAGCAUCCCAGCGGUACAAAAGGAACGAGGAUGCUGCAGACACCUUCAGCAAUGCAGUCCGAUAUCUCCACCUGUAUAAGAUUUCGUUAUGCAUACCUUCUUCGUCCUUUUUGCUAAGGAUCAUGAAAGCUGUUCCUGAUUCUUCGCUCCAUCUGUAGUACAAUCUCUCGCUCACGCUUUAUUUUUUUGGUGGGAACCAUGAGGAUCUUGAGCUGGGUGCAAACCAAGUUCAGUGGGAGACAGGAGCAUAAGCGAUGUGCUGCUGCUUUGAGUUCUGCUUCUUGUACUUCAAUCCCUGUUAUUUCUAAAGAAGAAUUCCGGGACUGGCCGCAGGCGUUGUUGGCAAUCGGGACAUUAGGCAACAGAGACAUCAAAGAAGACCCACAAAGACCUGAAUCCUCGGAAAACCUGCAAGCUUCAGAAGAUCUGCCUGAUUUCACCAUGGAAGAAGUGAACAGAUUCCAGGUAGAGCUAGUUAAGCUACUGACUCGAAAGCCGAAUUCUAGCACCAGUGCACCAGAGAUCGCUGAAGCAGAUCGGGCUAAUCUGCUACUGAAUUGGUUCCUUAAUCGCCCAUCGAGCUUGGAAGUUGACAGGAAACUGGAGAAUCUUGGCGAUCUCUCUCCCAGUACCAAGAUCAUACUAUCUAAAGUGAGAGAUGCUUUGUUGAGCAACCGCACCGCGAUUAAGAAAGAAUCACUCUCAUUUCUUUUCAAGAAGAUGUUUGUAUGUGGAAGUGGCUUUGCGCCGCCUCGGAACUUGAAGGAUCCAAUUCCUGAGCCGAGGAUUGAUAAGGUUUUGAGGGCAAUUCUGACCAAGAAGAUUUACCCUCGUAGCUCUGCUCUGGCACCAGCAAAGAAGUACUUGGCGAAUAAACCCACUGAGAAGAUGCAGGAAGAGGACAAAAGGAACGAUCAGUAUAAAUGGGUUAAGACCGAUUCUGAGUUUAUAGAACUUAUUGUUCUAGAGAUCUAGAGACCAAUCUAUCGAGAGAGUCUCGGGGAACGAGACCAAGAAAGAUGAGCUCAAACCGAAACGGCAAGGAAAGGAGGCGCAGAGCAGAACCAGAAGUUCUCUGCAAUAAAAGCUUCUUGUAUUAUUACGUGAUGGGCGAAAGCUUCUGGGUAUUCUUUGUUCUUUUGACCAGUUUGCAAAUGUGGUUCUUCAAGGUGCUUGUGAGCGAGUAAUUGUAGGAGAUCUGUAUUGUGAUAUUCCUUU